UUCUCUACCUAAAAAAAACCUCUUAAUCCCCAGUACAUAAUGUAGCAUAUAGCAAUUAUUUAUCUUUAGACUCGCAACAUUAACUGCAUUCGCCAAUCGCCAUCACGCCCACACUGUUCCGUUCCGUCCCGUUCAUUCAAGGUUAGUGUGGCGGGCUCUCAUCUGGGCCGGGCUACGGCCCAGAACCUCGGCCAACCUCACCACCACCAUCUUCGAAACAACCGAACAUCGCGCCCUCGUACAGGCUCCCCAUCGGCAACCUCGCCGCCCCCUCCGCCGCCGCCUCCUCCUCCUCGUCCGCCAUCGUCGUGGCGGGCAAGUAAGCCACCGCGCUCGCCAGCCUCCGGGCCUCGCUCCCGGACUCCGGCGCGCCGUGAUCAGGACCACGCGGGCCCCGCUGCCGGCGGCGACGCGGCGGCGAUGGCACAGUCGACGGUGGAGAAGCCGCAAAACCCUCAAAACCUAACUGGCCCUAACCUCCUCUCUCCCUUGUGUCCCAAACUCGUUCUCUCCUCUUUCCUCUCAAAACCCUCAAAACCUAACUGGCCCUAACCUCCUCUCUCCCUUCAAAACCCUAGCUAGCCCUAAUUCCUCGUCGCCAACACCGCCACUAGAAGCUUCGCUGCCACCUGCACCUGAAGCUCAUCAAGUCAUCAUUUCCCUUUCAUAUGUGCGUUUUUGUUCGACUUUAUCGACUUUUUGGGAUUUUUGUGAUUUUUGCGUUUCUGAUGUGGUUUGGUUUGAUUUAGUGCAAGUUUCUUAAUCAAAUCUACUGCUUGCUUUAUCCUACUCACUGUCUAAAGCUCGGCCUCCUGCCGUUCAAAGCUCAGUCGAAAACCCUAGAUCUCCUGUAGUCGACACCAAGUUCUCAUCCUCCACGCCAUCCUCCUCCUUAACCCACGGCCCAGGUCCUAAUCGUGCAUCUUGCAGGAGAAAUGCAUCUCCUUCACUCUUCUUUGUAACCCUCUUCAAUCUCCAAAGCUCUCCCCAUCCAAAAAAAAGAGAAAAAGUGGAAAAAUGGCGCUUUGGAAUAAAAUCCGACACUCUGGACUACAGCGCCUCGUUCAAUCCUAUCAAAACCCUAGCUUUAUCUCCGCCCCCGUGAGAUCUUGCUCAGUUCGUGCUCAUGUGAAGGAGAAGCAAAUCAAAGAACCAAGCGGAUGGAGUCUCACUGGGGAUAUUACUGCUCAAUAUGAUCGAGACGUCACUGAUCAAGAUUAUUAUUGUUUCCAAUGUAGACCUCAACAUGGAACCGGACAUGCACAACGUCAAAUUGUUAAUGCUCUUCGCUUGGGGGAGAGGGAGAAAGCCUUUGGGAUGCUACAAAAUCUUGGUGAUGGAAACGUCUCUUUAGGUCCUGAUGACUUUUCUUUUGUUCUGGACUACUGUGCACAGAUUCCUGAUCCUCUGUUUGUCAUGGGAACUUGGAGAAUCAUGGAGGAACAAGCAGUGGCUAUUGACAAGAGAUGUUGUAGAGCUAUUGUUAAAGCCUUUAGUAGGGGAGGAUAUCUUAAGGAGGCAUUUGAUUGGCUUAAGUUUGUUGGUGAUAAUGACUUUGCCCAUGCUAUGCUUUCCUUGAGUAAUAUUUUCUUAAGUGAAUCUGGAAGUAGGCAAAGCUUUGUUGAUGUGGACCAUUGUAUAGAGCUGAUGGAGAAACAAUUUGUGGGGAAGUCUGAAAUAACGUAUUGGGGGCUUCUCAAGUUUGCAGUUUCACAGAAAAAUUUAUCAGCAGUUUAUGAUAUUUGGAAAGAUUGCACUAAUUACUAUACUCCAAGCAUUAUAACUAUGAGAAAAUUUAUCUGGUCGUUUACAAGGUUAAAUGACCUGAAAUCAGCAUAUGCAAUUUUGCAACAUAUGGUAGCUUUAGCUAACCGAGAAAGCGCUCCUCUUAGGACAUCUUCUGCGAGAAAAUAUCAGUCAUCAAGGCUAGAUAUUCCCAUUCCGUCAACUAAUGAGUUCCCAUAUAAGAUAUUUGGAUUGAGAAACAUGAAACAUUCUUCAAAUAUUCAUAAGACAACAAUGGAUACGGGGUCAUUUGACAAUGUUGAUGAUGAUUUCCUCCUUGACAGUUUUAAUCUAGAUCCAUUCCAUGUGCCAGUUACUCUUAAAAAUGGAAUAUCGAAUACACUUGAGAAAGAUAAAAUCUACUCAGAGAUGUUCCCUUCUGCUGAUGUUUCUGAGAGUGAUGAUCAGUAUCUUCAGAAGGACGAUUAUAUGGAAUUGAAGAUGGAAAAUGUAAAACAUGAAGGGCUGGGAUUUGAGGAAAUGAAAGCAAAGGCUUCUCCACCGGUUAAAAAUGUCUUAAGAUGGUCUUUCAACAAUGUAAUACAUGCUUGUGCACAAGCUGGAAAAUACGAACUAGCUGAGCGCUUAUUCAUGCAGAUGCAUGACCUUGGAUUGAAACCGUCAGGAGAUACAUAUGAUGGCUUUGUCAAAGCUGUAGUUUACGGGAAAGGAGUGACUUACGGCAUGAAAGUGAUUGAAUCCAUGGAAAAGAAUAACAUCAAGCCUUAUAAUGAUACUCUUGCAGUUCUGUCAACUGGUCACAGCAAAAAUUUUGAGCUGGAUAUAGCUGAGGCUUUGUUGGAGAAAAUUUCUUAUGGUCUACCAAAGUAUAUUCAUCCAUUUAAUGCUAUUUUGGCUGCAUGUGAUAUUAUGGAUCAACCUGAUCGUGCUGUUCAUAUAUUGGCUAAGAUGAAGCAUUUACAAAUCAAGCCAAAUAUCAGGACAUAUGAGCUCCUAUUUUCUUUAUUUGGUAAUAUAAAUAUACCUUAUGAGAAAGGAAACAUGUUCUCACAUGCAGAUGUCUCUAGAAGGAUAAAUGCUAUAGAGAAGGAUAUGAUAAGAAUUGGAGUCCAACACAGCUAUAUGUCAAUGAAGAAUUUGAUAAGAGCUCUUGGAGCUGAGGGCAUGAUAGGAGAAAUGCUCCGGUAUCUAAAUAUAGCAGAAAGCAUGCAAUGGAACAUAGAUCCUUAUGAAAAAUUGGAGUUAUACAAUAUUGUGCUGCAUGCAUUCGUCAAGGCUAAAGAAACUUCAACUGCAAUUGAAUUAUUCAAAGAUAUGCGACUCUCUGGUUUCCCUGCUGAUGUGGCAACAUAUAAUAUGAUGGUAGAAUGUUGCAGCAUAUUGGGAUGUCUCAAGUCUGCAUCUGCAUUGCUGUCUUUGAUGUUACGUGAUGGUUUUGUUCCUCAAACAUUGACAUAUAAUGCACUUAUAAAGGUUCUUUUAGCUAAUGACGAUUUUGAUUCAGCAAUGAGUCUUUUGGAUCAAGUGAGAUCUGAAGAAAAUGAACUUGAUAUCCAACUGUUUAAUACAAUUUUGAAACAAGCAAAUCAAAAGGGCCGAAUUGACAUAAUUGAGCUUAUCGUUGAGCUCAUUCACAAAGAAAAGAUCCAACCAAAUCCGUCAACAUGUUGGUACGCAUUCUGUGCCUAUGUGGAAUGUGGUUUUCACAGCACUGCUAUGGAAGCAUUGCAAGUUCUGAGCUUGCGAAUGAUCUCUGAAGACGAGAAUAUCCUUAAAGAUUAUAAGGCUGCAUAUGAGGACCUUCUCCACAGUGAAGAACUAGAUGUUGAAUCAAAGAUUGUUGAGAUUUUUGAAGAAUCUCAGGAAUUUAUUGCUACGGCUUUACUCAGCCUAAGAUGGUGUGCUAUUAAUGGUUCCCUCAUAUCAUGGUCUCCCAGUGAAAGUCUCUGGGCAAAGAGGCUUUCUUCUACUCAUGCUGCCAGAAGAAAAGCUGGUUGAAAUUUUUGUUUUAAAUGCAAUCCCUUUUAUCAUUGCCUUGAUUGCUGCUCCAUAGAGAGCCAACCGCCUACGUGUUGUUUGAUGAUGAUGAUAAUAAUGGCUCCAUAUACAAAAUAAGCUAGCUAGACGAGUUAUAGAAGUUCUUCAACAGAGUGAAGGCAGAGCGGCUCAUCAGAAAAUUUCUGAGGCCGUAAUCAAUUACCUUGUUCCAGCAAUGCAGCUUCUCUCAAACUAUCAGGUUGAAGGUUUCUAUAUUACUGAAGCUGAUAAAAUAAUGUUGAAGAUCACAAUACUUGGAAUACGAUUUCUUAUUGAAAUGCAUCCCUCUUCGUAUUUUUCUUUAGAUGGCCAUGUGCAAGCUCAUUUGCAGAUCUGAUUCGAACAGUCGAAGAUUCAAGCACACCCCCAACUUCAGUAGCAGAAACCUUCACCACUCCAAGCAAGAGAACUCCAACCAAGUACGACAAACGUAUAUAUUUUACAAUUGAUCUGACUCUCAUUGAACUUUCAGGCCUCCUCGUAACUGCCACAAUGAAUAUGCAGAUUCGAAGAUUCUGAUGGCUCAGGUAUCUCUUGAUGCAAGAGUUAUGGGUGAAGAAAUCGUCCAAGGCUACAAAGUAAUAUGGGAUGGAUCUGAAUCAGAAUUUAACGAUGUCUGAUUUUGGAUUUAUCUUUUUUCCCUCGCUCCUACGGCUGUAAAUGUCAGCAUUUCGAAUCAUUUUAUGACACCUUAUUUUAAUGUAAUGAGAUCGAGAAGAGCAUCUACUGUGCAUCCUGUGGAUACCACAUCUAUCUUCACGUUGUGUUAUGAAGCAUAUCCGCCUAAAUUUUUUUGGGGAAAAAAAUGUGAACCUAUUGGAUUUGAUCA